rnacentral:rRNA from 1 species
UACGUAGGGGGCAAGCGUUAUCCGGAUUUACUGGGUGUAAAGGGAGCGUAGACGGUGUGGCAAGCCAGAUGUGAAAGCCCGGGGCUCAACCCCGGGACUGCAUUUGGAACUGUCAGACUGGAGUGUCGGAGAGGCAGGCGGAAUUCCUAGUGUAGCGGUGAAAUGCAUAGAUAUCACGAAGAACCCCGAUUGCGAAGGCAGCAUACCGGCUCCACACUGACGCUGAGGCACGAAAGCGUGGGUAUCGAACAGG